GCGCUGUUAGCUCAGUUGGCAGAGCAGCUCCCUUUUAAGGAGAAGGUCACUGGUUCGAGCCCAGUACAGCGCACCA
rnacentral:tRNA from 1 species